CACUCCUGCGGGAGGCAGCAGUAGGGAAUCUUCCACAAUGGGUGCAAACCUGAUGGAGCAAUGCCGCGUGAGUGAAGAAGGUCUUCGGAUCGUAAAGCUCUGUUGUUAGAGAAGAACACGUGCUAGGUAACUACUAGCGCCUUGACGGUAUCUAACCAGAAAGUCACGGCUAACUACGUGCCAGCAGCCGCGGUAAUACGUAGGUGACAAGCGUUGUCCGGAUUUAUUGGGCGUAAAGGGAGCGCAGGCGGUCUGUUUAGUCUAAUGUGAAAGCCCACGGCUUAACCGUGGAACGGCAUUGGAAACUGACAGACUUGAAUGUAGAAGAGGAAAAUGGAAUUCCAAGUGUAGCGGUGGAAUGCGUAGAUAUUUGGAGGAACACCAGUGGCGAAGGCGAUUUUCUGGUCUAACAUUGACGCUGAGGCUCGAAAGCGUGGGGAGCGAACAGGAUUAGAAACCCGGGUAGUCCCA
rnacentral:rRNA from 1 species